CCUACGGGAGGCAGCAGUGAGGAAUAUUGGUCAAUGGUCGGAAGACUGAACCAGCCAUGCCGCGUGCAGGAAGAAUGCCUUAUGGGUUGUAAACUGCUUUUAUAUGGGAAGAAUAAGGUGUACGUGUACAUUGAUGACGGUACCAUAUGAAUAAGCAUCGGCUAACUCCGUGCCAGCAGCCGCGGUAAUACGGAGGAUGCGAGCGUUAUUCGGAAUCAUUGGGUUUAAAGGGUCUGUAGGCGGGCUAUUAAGUCAGGGGUGAAAGGUUUCAGCUUAACUGAGAAAUUGCCUUUGAUACUGGUAGUCUUGAAUAUCUGUGAAGUUCUUGGAAUGUGUAGUGUAGCGGUGAAAUGCUUAGGUAUUACACAGAACACCGAUUGCGGAGGCAGGGGACUAACAGACGAUUGACGCUGAGAGACGAAAGCGUGGGGAGCGAACAGGAUUAGAUACCCUGGUAGUCCACGCUGUAAACGAUGGAUACUAGCUGUUUGGAGUAAUUUGAGUGGCUAAGCGAAAGUGAUAAGUAUCCCACCUGGGGAGUACGACCGCAAGGUUGAAACUCAAAGGAAUUGACGG
rnacentral:rRNA from 1 species